rnacentral:rRNA from 1 species
UAGGGAAUCUUCCGCAAUGGACGAAAGUCUGACGGAGCGACGCCGCGUGAGCGAAGAAGGUCUUCGGAUCGUAAAGCUCUGUUGUUAGGGAAGAAGAAGUGCCGUUCGAACAGGGCGGCGCGGUGACGGUACCUAACGAGAAAGCCCCGGCUAACUACGUGCCAGCAGCCGCGGUAAUACGUAGGGGGCGAGCGUUGUCCGGAAUUAUUGGGCGUAAAGCGCGCGCAGGCGGUCCCUUAAGUCUGAUGUGAAAGCCCACGGCUUAACCGUGGAGGGUCAUUGGGAACUGGGGGACUUGAGUGCAGAAGAGGAGAGCGGAAUUCCACGUGUAGCGGUGAAAUGCGUAGAGAUGUGGAGGAACACCAGUGGCGAAGGCGGCUCUCUGGUCUGUAACUGACGCUGAGGCGCGAAAGCGUGGGGAGCAAACAGG